UACGUAGGUGACAAGCGUUGUCCGGAUUUACUGGGCGUAAAGAGCGCGCAGGCGGUCGAUCAAGUCGAGUGUGAAAGCCCCGGCUCAACUGGGGAGGGUCAUUCGAAACUGGUCGACUCGAAGGCAGGAGAGGGUAGUGGAAUUCCCGGUGUAGUGGUGAAAUGCGUAGAUAUCGGGAGGAACACCAGUGGCGAAGGCGACUACCUGGCCUGUUCUUGACGCUGAGGCGCGAAAAGCUAGGGGAGCAAACGGG
rnacentral:rRNA from 1 species